GGGGUAAUGAGAGAAGGAGGCAUGUUUUGGAGGUUUGUACUGACAGCAUGUCAUGAUGACAAUGUCCAGAGUGGAACCACAGAAGUCUUGGCUACAGUGGAAUGGGAAUGGCAAUGGGAAAAAAGAUCAUUAGAAGUAAAGAGGGUGAGGAACUGAGGUUAUGGAGCUUUGGUUGGGUCACCCACCAUAGAUGCUUAAGUCAUAGCAGUUAGUAACAGGAAUAGGGUCGAAGGGAGAGGCUAUGAGCCAAGAGUCCAGGUCCCCAGUGAAGAAGGAAAUUUGAGUAAGAUGUCAGUGAUGACUGAAAAAGUUGUACUGGAGUUACAGUCUUGUAUGGACUUGUAGCACAGGCUACAAUGGUUGCAUGAGCUACAGGAAUGCUGGGCAUUUUUUAAUAAGGUGGGAAUUAAAUGGAGGCUGAAAUGUCAGAAGGUGCAGUUUCCAGUGUCCAUGGGAGAGCAAAUAGGAAAAGGAGAGAAAAGUUUUAAGGAUGAUAUUAAAAAGGACAAUUUCCAACCUAAGACUUUUGUCACAACUGAGUGCAGAGUGACAAGCCAUAUAUGACCUUGGCCAGCAGCCCCUGGGGCCUUAGGAAAUACCUGGUAGGAAGAAGAGACAAAACAUUAAAUAAAAUACAGUUGGGUGGUUCCAGAGAUGAAGCUGACUUGAGAAAGCAGAAACAGAGACUAGGAAGGGUUUUUAAAGUGGUUGAUAUGAGCAUAAUUCUCAAUUGGCACAGUAAGGCCAAUAACUAAUGAACAAUACGAUCUCCCCGCUGAAUAUUAGACAUGGUGUUAAGAAGAGCAGUAAAGGGAGCUGGUCUGGGAACUAUCCAUCUCUGAUCUUCACAGGAAAGAGCUUCCUAUAUAAGCAGUGACUCUCCUUGGGGGUACAAACACACACCCAACACACAACAAUACAAAAUGCAAACACUUUUAUUAAGAAGUUUUCAAUAGGCGAGGACCUAACAGAUGAGGUAGCAGAACCAGGACAGCUCCCUGCAUAAGCACAAAGAACAGGGCACAUAGAGCUCAGAAAGCCAUUUGAG
rnacentral:lncRNA from 1 species